UGAAGCAGUUGUGUCUUAAAUAAUUCAUUUUACUGGACGGCUGUUUAUAACUUUAACUAAAUUAACUAACCAGAGCAAAGAGCAAAGAAGAGGAGCAAGAACACAAUUAAAACCUCUUGUUUUUCUCCAAGUCAGUAAACCAUAAAUCCUCCAUGACAGAGGGUGCACGUCAUAUUUCUGGUAAACUGGUCCGGCAGCUGCUUCAUCAGGAUGGAAGCCGUGGAAGAUGUGGAGCUGACCUCAGGUGAUCUGAUGUGG